rnacentral:rRNA from 1 species
AGAGUUUGAUCCUGGCUCAGAUUGAACGCUGGCGGCGUGCUUAACACAUGCAAGUCGAACGCGAAAGGGACUUCGGUCCUGAGUAAAGUGGCGCACGGGUGAGUAACGCGUGGAUAAUCUGCCCUUAUGAUCGGGAUAACAGUUGGAAACGGCUGCUGAUACCGGAUACGCUCAAAAUGAACUUUUUGAGGAAAGAUGGCCUCUGCUUGCAUGCUAUCGCGUAAGGAUGAGUCCGCGUCCCAUUAGCUUGUUGGCGGGGUAACGGCCCACCAAGGCAACGAUGGGUAGCCGAUUUGAGAGGAUGAUCGGCCACACUGGAACUGAAACACGGUCCAGACUCCUACGGGAGGCAGCAGUGGGGAAUAUUGCGCAAUGGGCGAAAGCCUGACGCAGCGACGCCUCGUGAGGGAUGAAGGUCUUCGGAUCGUAAACCUCUGUCAAGAGGGAAGAAACCCUUGAGUUCGAACAGGGCUCUUGGCUGACGGUACCUCUAAAGGAAGCACCGGCUAACUCCGUGCCAGCAGCCGCGGUAA